rnacentral:rRNA from 1 species
AAACGGGUGGUAAUGCCGGAUGCUCCGACUCCUCGCAUGGGGUGUCGGGAAAGAUUUCAUCGGUAUGGGAUGGGGUCGCGUCCUAUCAGGUAGUCGGCGGGGUAACGGCCCACCGAGCCUACGACGGGUAGCCGGCCUGAGAGGGCGACCGGCCACAUUGGGACUGAGAUACGGCCCAGACUCCUACGGGAGGCAGCAGUGGGGAAUAUUGCACAAUGGGCGCAAGCCUGAUGCAGCGACGCCGCGUGCGGGAUGACGGCCUUCGGGUUGUAAACCGCUUUUGAUCGGGAGCAAGCCUUCGGGUGAGUGUACCUUUCGAAUAAGCACCGGCUAACUACGUGCCAGCAGCCGCGGUAAUACGUAGGGUGCAAGCGUUAUCCGGAAUUAUUGGGCGUAAAGGGCUCGUAGGCGGUUCGUCGCGUCCGGUGUGAAAGUCCAUCGCUUAACGGUGGAUCUGCGCCGGGUACGGGCGGGCUGGAGUGCGGUAGGGGAGACUGGAAUUCCCGGUGUAACGGUGGAAUGUGU